CCUACGGUGUGCUGCAGUGGGGAAUAUUGGGCAAUGGGCGCAAGCCUGACCCAGCAACGCCGCGUGAAGGAAGAAGGCUUUCGGGUUGUAAACUUCUUUUCUCAGGGACGAAGCAAGUGACGGUACCUGAGGAAUAAGCCACGGCUAACUACGUGCCAGCAGCCGCGGUAAUACGUAGGGGGCAAGCGUUAUCAGGAUUUACUGGGGGUAAAGGGCGUGUAGGGUGGAAUGCCAGUCAUAUGCGAAAACCAUGGGGUCAACCUGUGGCCUGCAUUUGAAACUGUUUUUCUUGAGUACUGGAGAGGCAGACGGAAUUCCAAGUGUAGCGGUGAAAUGCGGAGAUAUUAGGAGGAACACCAGUGGCGAAGGCGGUCUGCUGGACAGCAACUGACGCUGAGGCGCGAAAGCGUGGGGAGCAAACAGGAUUAGAUACCCUUGUAGUC
rnacentral:rRNA from 1 species